AGAGUUUGAUCAUGGCUCAGGGUGAACGCUAGAAAUGUGGAUACCGGCAUGCAAGUCGAGGGCCCCGCAAGGGGACCGGCGAACGGCUUAGUAACACGUAGAUACAUACCGUAAAGAUGGGGACAGCUCGUCGAAAGACGGGGUAAUACCCAAUGGUCUCGCAAGAGUAAAGGCGCAAGCCGCUUUAUGAAUGGUCUGCGGUCUAUCAGCUAGUUGGCGGGGUAAAGGCCCACCAAGGCUAUGACGGAUAGGGGGUGUGAGAGCACGGCCCCCAAGAGUUGGACUGCGACACGGCCAACACUCCUACGGGAGGCUGCAGUCGAGAAUCUUCCGCAAUGGACGAAAGUCUGACGGAGCGACAUUUCGUGAAGGAUGAAGCCUUCGGGGUGUAAACUUCUUUUGUAUGGGAAAAAGUUAUUGAUUGUACCAUAAGAAUAAGGGGUUCCUAACUCUGUGCCAGCAGGAGCGGUAAUACAGAGACCCCAAGCGUUACCCGGAUUUAUUGGGCGUAAAGGGUGUGUAGGUGGUGUGGUAAGUUCAAAUUUAAAGCUCAUCGGCUUAACCUUUGAGAUGAUUUGAAUACUGCCACGCUCAGAGGGCGUUAGAGGCAGACGGAACCGACCAAGUAGGGGUGAAAUCCGUUGAUAUGGUCGGGAACACCAAAAGCGAAGGCAGUCUGCUGGGGCGACCCUGACACUGAAACACGAAAGCGUGGGGAGCAAAAAGGAUUAGAUACCCUAGUAGUCC
rnacentral:rRNA from 1 species